rnacentral:rRNA from 1 species
CAGCCGCCACGGGAAUACGUAGGUGGCAAGCGUUGUCCGGAAUUAUUGGGCGUAAAGGGCUCGCAGGCGGUUUCUUAAGUCUGAUGUGAAAGCCCCCGGCUCAACCGGGGAGGGUCAUUGGAAACUGGGAAACUUGAGUGCAGAAGAGGAGAGCGGAAUUCCACGAGUAGCGGUGAAAUGCGUAGAGAUGUGGAGGAACACCAGUGGCGAAGGCGACUCUCUGGUCUGUAACUGACGCUGAGGAGCGGAAGCGUGGGGAGCGAACAGGAUUAGAUACCCCUGUAGUCCCUGUCUCUUAUAC